CAGAGACUGCAAGCGUUAUUCGGAUUCACUGGGCGUAAAGGGUGCGCAGGCGGCCAAGUGUGUGAGGCGUGAAAGCCCGGGGCUUAACCCCGGAAUUGCACCUCAAACUACAUGGCUAGAGCAUUGGAGAGGGUAGCAGAAUUCAUGGUGUAGCAGUGAAAUGCGUAGAUAUCAUGAGGAAUACCAGAGGCGAAGGCGGCUACCUGGACAAUUGCUGACGCUCAGGCACGAAAGCGUGGGGAGCAAAAGGGAUUAGAUACCCCUGUAGUCCACGCCCUAAACGGUGCACACUAGGUCUUAGCGGAUUCGACCCCCCCAGGGCCCAAGCUAACGCGUUAAGUGUGCCGCCUGAGGACUACGGCCGCAAGGCUA
rnacentral:rRNA from 1 species